GCAAUAUGAUGAUAAUGAGAAUGGUUUCGCAAACUUGACUGAAAUCUUGUGAUGUCAUGUUUCUCUUGGCUAUCUGAUUGA